GACAGAGGGUGCAAACGUUGCUCGGAUUUACUGGGCGUAAAGCGCAUGUAGGCUGGAAUCUAAGUCGGGUGUGAAAUCCCUGGGCUCAACCUAGGAACUGCAUCCGAAACUGGAUUCCUGGAGUGGUGGAGAGGAAAGCGGAAUUCCGGGUGUAGAGGUGAAAUUCGUAGAUAUCCGGAGGAACACCAGUGGCGAAGGCGGCUUUCUGGACACCAACUGACGCUGAGAUGCGAAAGCGUGGGGAGCAAACAGG
rnacentral:rRNA from 1 species